rnacentral:rRNA from 1 species
CGAAAGCCUGACGGAGCAACGCCGCGUGUGGGAGGAAGGUUUUAGGACUGUAAACCACUUUUCUCAGGGAAGAAGCACUGACGGUACCUGAGGAAUAAGCAUCGGCUAAUUCCGUGCCAGCAGCCGCGGUAAUACGGGAGAUGCAAGCGUUAUCCGGAAUUAUUGGGCGUAAAGCGUCCGCAGGCGGCUUGGUAAGUCUGUCGUUAAAGCGUGGAGCUUAACUCCAUUAGAGCGAUGGAAACUGCCAGGCUUGAGUGUGGUAGGGGCAGAGGGAAUUCCCGGUGUAGCGGUGAAAUGCGUAGAUAUCGGGAAGAACACCAGUGGCGAAGGCGCUCUGCUGGGCCAUAACUGACGCUCAUGGACGAAAGCCAGGGGAGCG